rnacentral:rRNA from 1 species
UAUGCGCUAUCUGCAGUCGAGCGAACAGACGAGGAGCUUGCUCCUCUGACGUUAGCGGCGGACGGGUGAGUAACACGUGGAUAACCUACCUAUAAGACUGGGAUAACUUCGGGAAACCGGAGCUAAUACCGGAUAAUAUAUUGAACCGCAUGGUUCAAUAGUGAAAGACGGUUUUGCUGUCACUUAUAGAUGGAUCCGCGCCGCAUUAGCUAGUUGGUAAGGUAACGGCUUACCAAGGCAACGAUGCGUAGCCGACCUGAGAGGGUGAUCGGCCACACUGGAACUGAGACACGGUCCAGACUCCUACGGGAGGCAGCAGUAGGGAAUCUUCCGCAAUGGGCGAAAGCCUGACGGAGCACCGCCGCGGGAGUGAUGAAGGUCUUCGGGAUCGUAAAACUCUGUUAUUAGGGAAGAACAAAUGUGUAAGUAACUAUGCACGUCUUGACGGUACCUAAUCAGAAAGCCACGGCUAACUACGUGCCAGCAGCCGCGGUAAUACGUAGGUGGCAAGCGUUAUCCGGAAUUAUUGGGCGUAAAGCGCGCGUAGGCGGUUUUUUAAGUCUGAUGUGAAAGCCCACGGCUCAACCGUGGAGGGUCAUUGGAAACUGGAAAACUUGAGUGCAGAAGAGGAAAGUGGAAUUCCAUGUGUAGCGGUGAAAUGCGCAGAGAUAUGGAGGAACACCAGUGGCGAAGGCGACUUUCUGGUCUGUAACUGACGCUGAUGUGCGAAAGCGUGGGGAUCAAACAGGAUUAGAUACCCUGGUAGUCCACGCCGUAACGAUGAGUGCUAAGUGUUAGGGGGUUUCCGCCC